CUGAGGAGGGUGCAUACCGCCCGCCUUCCGCCUUCCGCCUUCCGCCUGCGGUGGGGCUUCCAAUGGCCUGCGGCACCUGCGGUGAAUUUCCGCCCGCCGCCUCCACGGCCUAUGCAGCCACCGGCACGGGCGUGACAUCCCCCAGGUUGGAGGCACCUGUCCGCGUCACGUCAGAACUGAAUCCGUGCGGGAGGGGACCGUGCAAGGGUGUGAAUACGAACAGACAAGGCUCUUGGAAGAUCUUCUUGGAGGCCGGCUACCCACCGCAAUAAUGAUGUGUCAUCUAUUCAGUACCUAUUAUGUGCUUGGCUUUAGAUGGGAAUGAUCUCACUUCAUCCUCACUACAGCCUUAUACGGGUGGUCCUCCAGAAACCUGUUAUAAUUCUACUCCGUUUGAAAGCUAUGCGUCUGUUAGGAUCUUUAAAAGGAGUCUUUACACUCAAAGCAAAUGGAGAAAAAGGAAGCCAGAUCAUCUCAAUGGAAUCUGUGGCCAGACCAGAAAAUGAGGCAGGACCCGGGAGAGCUGAAUUGAGAGAAGAGGCAGAGAACAAAAGUCCUUCCAGCCAACCAUUAAUCCAGGGCUGCUUUCUCUGAUAGGCCAAUAGAAAGAGGUUUUGAAGGGCUUUACAAAUAUGCUUUCUAAAGUUUAAUAAUUACU